AUUUCCCUCCAUCUCCAAAAAAUUAAACCCCAAAUUCCCCCCACAAAAAUUCACUUCCCUCCGGUAUACAAAGAAAUUAAACCCCAAAACUUCCUCUCAUCUUCCAAACACCUCUCCUCUCCACCGUCUGUCUGCCGCCUGCUGAACCUCGAAGCCAUCCAGCCGAAGACUGGACGCAAUCCACGACCACCUCAACCUCACAUGGUUUCGCCCUAAUCGACGAACCCUAAACUCUAAUCGAACAUCACGGUUCCUAAACACAUUUGAAGAGGUGAUGAAAACCCCUAACCUUCUUAAUGUGUAUGUUAUCGGAUUGUGUGUGUAUCUGUACUAUAUAUGUGUGUAGUCAAGAUUGUCGGGGAUUUGAAAUCUUUGAAAGACUAAUAGUGUUUGAAAUUGGUUUGUUAUUAUCCUGAUAUUAUUAUGUUGCAGAGAUCCUCUAGAAGGUACGAGGGCACAGCCAUGGGUGUCAUCGUUCUCAAUCUUUAUCCCGGGGAAUCAACCCCUUUUCUCUCCGUAAAUUUCCCCCUUUUUUGACCUAGAUUUGUCGUUUUUUUGGAUAUUACAUGUUUACUUUUGUUUUAUUUGUUUUGUAUGAAUUUUUAUGUUUUUGUUGAUUGUUGAAAUUCGAGUAUAUCUCGUUUAGAUUAUGAACUUUGCUAGAAUUAGUUGAAAGUUUUGGCUAGAUUGAACUGUAAUUAUGCUGAAGAUAUUCUUAAAUGUUUGAUUUAGUUUGUUUUAAAUGGUAUGUUGUAUGAUUUUACUGGAUUUAUAUAGGGUUUGAGGUUAGAUUAUGAAGUAACUGAGGUUGGAUUUUGAAGGUCUUUUUUUUUUUGAAGUUUUAUUUGCUUGGAUGAUUUUGCCAGUUCUAAAGAUGAUGAUUGUGUAAAAAGAUUUUGGUUUAAAUGGCGAUGAAUGAUUUUUUUUCUUAUUUUUUUUGAAUCAACCUUGGCUCUUAUGUCAUCAAUUUACUUUAGCUCUUGGUUCAUAAUACAAAAUUCUGAACAUUUUUGUACUUGAAAGUUUGGUUUGUUAAUUGAACAAUGUGGGCUCCUCCACCACCUCCAAUGGCUGACAACAUAAGAGGAAUUCACACAGAUGAAAUCCAAAUUUGAGAAUAUUAGAGGCUUUAAAAUUGUUGUGAUGCUAUUGACGCCACUCGUAUAUUAUGAUGUUGCCGUCAGCAACGGGUCGAACAAAUGAUGUUUGGCUUGACGGUAAGGACAACCACAUUAUGAUUUUGCUGGUAUGUAGAAUGUAUGUUUUAUUUAACGUGACAUUUUCAUUCCAUUUACCUAGGAAUGAGUCAAUUGCGGUAUACUUCAUAUAUAAUGGAUCAAACAUAUGUUAGCUAAAAAGGAAAUGGGUCAAAUAGGAGAAAUGGUUUCAUUGUGGCCUUAAGUGUGAUUGUUGACCCUGACAUGAGAUUCCGUGAUGUAGUUAUGGGAUAUACCAGGUAAAUCGAUGAAGCACCCGCUCUUAGUUAAGCUUUUUUAGAGAAAGCUUGCCACGCACGUAUAUUGGAUCACUUUGCCGAUCAUGCUGAUGAUUCUGGAUCUCAUCAAGUUGCUGAAGAUUGUUAAUUACCUCUAUUUCAUAACUCUACAACGAUUGAAAUCUACUAUUUGUCAUUUUGUCCGACUUCAGAUUGACAUGAGAUUCUCUAUUUGUCAUCAAGUUGUUGUUGAUUUGAUUAGAAGAAGCGGAUGCAAGGUUAUUGUAAAAGUUUUUGUUCGAGCACUAAUGAAAGCGUCUAAUGUGCCAAUAUGUACCCCGCUAUAACGUGCCGGAUACUUUUUCACUAGUUUAUGUUGCUUUGAAACUUUUGUAAAUUUAUGUUACUUUAAAACCUUGGUAAUUUAUAUUCUUGGGUUAUUUUAUAUUGGUUUAA